UACAGAGGGGGCAAGCGUUGUUCGGGAUUACUGGGCGUAAAGGGCGCGUAGGCGGCCUUCUAAGUCGAACGUGAAAUCCCUGGGCUCAACCCAGGAACUGCGUCCGAUACUGAAAGGCUUGAAUCCGGGAGAGGGAUGCGGAAUUCCAGGUGUAGCGGUGAAAUGCGUAGAUAUCUGGAGGAACACCGGUGGCGAAGGCGGCAUCCUGGACCGGCAUUGACGCUGAUGAGCGAAAGCUAGGGGAGCAAACGGG
rnacentral:rRNA from 1 species